GGGCGCGGCCUGAUUUCCGGCAGUCUCCCUCCCGCCUGGUCGCCUCAGGCCGACCACGCCCCGCUGUCCCCAACCGGACUCAAAGGAGACCUGGCAGGUGACGACCUGGUCCCCACGUCGGAUUCCGGCGAAGCCUGGGACCCCAGGACCCAGUCAGGCCCACGCGUCGGGGUGGAAGGGGAGACUGACCACCUCCCAGAGACCUCUUAGAAGUCUCACAGGUCGGGCCUUCCGGGGCGCAGCAUCCCUCAGGUGUAGGGACCCUCUGGAUAUUUUGGAGACCUCAUGAAGAGGAAUCUGCCCAAAUCUACCGGUAUUGCAGGUAUGUCUGAUGGUCUUAGGUAAAUAAUGGGUCCACCACUCUGGAGUAAAGAAGGCUCACCAGUCGGACAAAUCACACCAAUGGAAAGCCCAGCCAAACCUAUGGACACACUCCAGCUCCACCUUCAGUGAGACCCCACCAACUGAUGGACAUCUGUUUGCCAUGGUCCCUGGCUAUCAUCGGCGUGAUAGCCCUCACCUCAGGAGUCGGACUUUAUGCUGCUGCCCCUUCUGAUUGGACUUUCCUCCAGAAACUUGUUAUUGUUAUUGCUUAUUCAGCAACUUUAGGAUGGAUUGCUAAGUUCAUAGAAAACACUAAGUUUUCUAUGAACUUAGGAUGGAUUGCUAAGUUCACUUAGUGUUUUCUAUGAACUUAGCAAUCCAUCCUAAAGUUAGCGGCUGCGCAGAUACUAGACUUGCAGGGCUAUCAGCCCAUAGUAGAUGAUAAUGAUACCCUCUAAACCAGGUGUUUAAAGAGGCAUCAAAGGAGGGCAUGAUAAGGGAAAAAUGAAAAGAUGGCCAACCAAACCAGCAAGGGAAUUCCAGUCCCUGUCUCAAAGCCCUUCCAGGCUCUUCUUUCCUACCCUAUUUCCCACAUGCGCCAAAAGUACCAAGUAUGCAGAAGUAGAAGGGUAUAAAUUCCCCUCCUUGUGCUCAGAUCUUUGGAGAAUGGUCUCCUCUGAGCCCGCUGGGGUUAAAUAAA